GACGGAGGGUGCAAGCGUUGUUCGGAAUUACUGGGCGUAAAGCGCGUGUAGGCGGCUUGCUAAGUCUGAUGUGAAAGCCCGGGGCUCACCCCCGGAAGUGCAUUGGAAACUGGCGAGCUCGAGUCCCGGAGAGGAGGGUGGAAUUCCUGGUGUAGCGGUGAAAUGCGUAGAUAUCAGGAGGAGCACCGGUGGCGAAGGCGGCCCUCUGGACGGUGACUGACGCUGAGACGCCAAAGGCUGGGGAGCAAUCACG
rnacentral:rRNA from 1 species